rnacentral:rRNA from 1 species
UACGUAGGUCCCGAGCGUUGUCCGGAUUUAUUGGGCGUAAAGCGAGCGCAGGUGGUUUAUUAAGUCUGGUGUAAAAGGUAGUGGCUCAACCAUUGUAUGCAUUGGAAACUGGUAGACUUGAGUGCAGGGGAGGAGAGUGGAAUUCCAUGUGUAGCGGUGAAAUGCGUAGAUAUAUGGAGGAACACCGGUGGCGAAAGCGGCUCUCUGGCCUGUAACUGACACUGAGGCUCGAAAGCGUGGGGAGCAAACAGG